rnacentral:rRNA from 1 species
AGAAUCAACGCUGGCGGCGUGCCUAACACAUGCAAGUCGCACGAGAAAGGGUAGCAAUACCUGAGUACAGUGGCGCACGGGUGAGUAACACGUGAAUUAUCUACCUCCGAGUGGGGAAUAACUGAGAGAAAUCUUAGCUAAUACCGCAUAACACUUACGAGUCAAAGCAGCAAUGCGCUUGGAGAGGAGUUCGCGGCAGAUUAGUUAGUUGGCGGGGUAAUGGCCCACCAAGACGAUGAUCUGUAUCCGGCCUGAGAGGGCGCACGGACACACUGGAACUGAAACACGGUCCAGACUCCUACGGGAGGCAGCAGUGGGGAAUUUUGCGCAAUGGGGGAAACCCUGACGCAGCAACGCCGCGUGGAGGAUGAAAUAUCUUGGUAUGUAAACUCCUUUCGAUGGGGAAGAUUAUGACGGUACCCAUAGAAGAAGCCCGGCUAACUUCGUGCCAGCAGCCGCGGUAA